UGCAAGUCGAGCGGGGGAGAUUACUUCGGUAAUUGACCUAGCGGCGGACGGGUGAGUAAUACUUAGGAAUCUGCCUAUUAAUGGGGGACAACAUCUCGAAAGGGAUGCUAAUACCGCAUACGCCCUACGGGGGAAAGCAGGGGAUCACUUGUGACCUUGCGUUAAUAGAUGAGCCUAAGUCGGAUUAGCUAGUUGGUGGGGUAAAGGCCUACCAAGGCGACGAUCUGUAGCGGGUCUGAGAGGAUGAUCCGCCACACUGGGACUGAGACACGGCCCAGACUCCUACGGGAGGCAGCAGUGGGGAAUAUUGGACAAUGGGGGGAACCCUGAUCCAGCCAUGCCGCGUGUGUGAAGAAGGCCUUAUGGUUGUAAAGCACUUUAAGCGAGGAGGAGGCUCUUUUGGUUAAUACCCAAGAUGAGUGGACGUUACUCGCAGAAUAAGCACCGGCUAACUCUGUGCCAGCAGCCGCGGUAAUACAGAGGGUGCGAGCGUUAAUCGGAUUUACUGGGCGUAAAGCGUGCGUAGGCGGCUUUUUAAGUCGGAUGUGAAAUCCCCGAGCUUAACUUGGGAAUUGCAUUCGAUACUGGGAAGCUAGAGUAUGGGAGAGGAUGGUAGAAUUCCAGGUGUAGCGGUGAAAUGCGUAGAGAUCUGGAGGAAUACCGAUGGCGAAGG
rnacentral:rRNA from 1 species